rnacentral:rRNA from 1 species
UGAGUAGGCGGUUAUAUAUGUCAGGUGUAAAAGGCGUAGGCUUAACUUACGUAAGCACUUGAAACUGUAUGACUUGAGAGCAGGAGAGGUAAGUGGAAUUCCUAGUGUAGCGGUGAAAUGCGUAGAUAUUAGGAGGAACACCAGUGGCGAAGGCGACUUACUGGACUGUAACUGACGCUGAGUCACGAAAGUGUGGGUAGCAAACAG